rnacentral:rRNA from 1 species
CCUACGUGGGGCAGCAGUCAAGAAUAUUUCACAAUGGGCGAAACCCUGAUCCUGCGAAGCCGCGUGGGGGAAUGAAGUUCUUCGGAUUGUAAACCUCUGUCAUGUGGGAGCAAAUUAAAAAGAUAGUACCACAAGAGGAAGAGCCGGCUAACUCUGUGCCAGCAGCCGCGGUCAUACAGAGGUCUCAAGCGUUGUUCGGAAUCACUGGGCUUAAAGCGUGCGUAGGCUGUUUCGUACGUCGGGUGUGAAAGGCGCGGGCUCAACCCGCGGACGGCACAUGAUACUGCGAGACUAGAGUAAUGGAGGGGGAAGCGGAAUGCGCGGUGUAGCAGUGAAAUGCGUAGAUAUCGAGAGGAACACUCGUGGCGAAGGCGGGUUCCUGGACAUUAACUGACGCUGAGGCACGAAGGCCAGGGGAGCGAAAGGGAUUAGAUACCCUUGUAGUC